rnacentral:lncRNA from 1 species
UGUGGACUUAUUCCCUGUCCCCUUUUCCCUUUUGUCUGAUUCAUUUUGUCACAGGAAUGAAAUGCAGAUAACUCGUUAGCAAACUUUUGUGGGAAAAAAGUGCCUUGUGCGAUCAGAACAAAGCCGUUUUAUAAUCAGAUUUACCAAGCUGAGAAGAGGGAGUUUCAGCAAAUGGAAGCUUCAGCUUUCUGUCACCAGGAAACACUGCGUUAUCCAGAAUCGGAAUUGUUAAAGCAUACUGACUUUACAACUGGAGACAAAAAUGGAACCUAAGAAAAUAAAAUCACUUGGGAAGGAUGUGAAUUCAUAUAUCUUUUCUCUUAAAGUUGUUUUGAAAAGAGCCUGGUCUGUUUCUGUCCCUCCUCUGUCAUUCUCCCAAAACUUAUAUGAAGAACUUUCCAGUCUACAUAGUCUCUGAACAUUUUAUUAUGUUGCAACAUCUCACUACACCGUUUGUUCGCUGAAAGCAUACCCUAGAAUUUGACUGUCCACUAUUGAUGACCAUCACUUAGGAAAACAGAGCAGCAGCUGUGUGAUGGAAUGACAAGCUUAUAAAGAACUCAAGAAUGGUUUUCCAUGAUGAGAAGAAGGGAAUGGAAAUUGCUUCUAAGAAACACAAGUUUUACAAUGUGGGUUUUCUAUUCUUUUGGUAAAUAAAUGGAAACUUAGAAAUAAUUUUAGACA